rnacentral:rRNA from 1 species
GCCAGCCGCCGCGGUAAUACCGGCGGCUCGAGUGGUGGCCACUUUAUUGGGCUUAAAGCGUUCGUAGCUGGGUCGUUAAGUCUCUUGGGAAAUCCGGCAGCUUAACUGUCGGGCGUCUAAGGGAUACUGGCGAUCUUGGAACCGGGAGAGGUGAGGGGGUACUUCGGGGGUAGGAGUGAAAUCCUGUAAUCCUCGAGGGACCACCUGUGGCGAAGGCGCCUCACCAGAACGGCUUCGACAGUGAGGGACGAAAGCUGGGGGAGCAAACCGGAUUAGAUACCCGGGUAGUCCCAGCCGUAAACGAUGUGCGUUAGGUGUAUCGACGACCACGAGUCGUCGAGGUGCCGAAGGGAAACCGUGAAACGUACCGCCUGGGAAGUACGGUCGCAAGGCUGAAACUUAAAGGAAUUGGCGGGGGAGCACCACAACAGGUGGAGCCUGCCGGUUUAAUUGGACUCAACGCCGGGAAGCUCACCGGAUAAGACAGCUGAAUGAUUGCCGGGCUGAAGACUCUGCAUGACUAGCUGAGAAGUGGUGCAUGG